rnacentral:lncRNA from 1 species
AUGGGGGUGGGACCGCUCCCACCCGGCCAGGACGGCGCUUCCCGGGGGGCAGCCCCGACCCCCGAGCCCCCUUCUCCAUUCCUGCUGCCGCUGGAUUUUCCCGAGCCGCGUCUGCUCCGCGCUCCCAGCCCGGGGCUCUUGAACUUCAGUCCCCGGCAGCCACAGAGGUCGCUUCUGAGCUCCACGCCAAGCCUUUUCCCCAUUAUUUAUUUAUUUCUUCUCCCCCAACUCAGGCUCUCCCUCCCUCAUGGCCGGAGUGGAAAAGCACGUUUAAAUCCCGAAGCCGGCUUUCCCACGUGCUGCCUCCCCGAGCUGCUGUCACAGCCACGCCGCGCUCCCACCGGGCACCGCAGCUUCUCCCGUGCCCUGCCCGAAGAAGGCACAAGGCUCCAACUCUCUCUCCUGCUGAACUUGCCGGGAACAAAAGGCUCCGUUCCCGAUCCAGCCCGCAGUUGCCGUGAGAAACUUCCUCGCCAGCGCUGUCUGUCGCUCCGCUCUCCCUCCCUCGCUCCCUCCCUGCCUCGGGAAAAUGGCAGUGCAAGAGCUUGAUGAAAAGGGGGAAAAAACCUUCUUUCUCAGCGCCUGCCUCUCCCGCAGCACCCCCCAUCCCCAGUCAUGACGCCUGAACUCAAACUUCUCUAAAAAUACACUUUAGGAGGGUAGAUUUUCACGGGAGGGGAUGUGUUUUUUACACCCCACUGAAAAGGGGCGCCGAGCUGGGGGAAAAGGCCGAGGGACAGCUUUUUCCAGACAGGAGAACCUGCUGCUGACCCCUCCCGCACGGCAUCGCCAGGUCCCAAGGAUUUGAAACACAAUAAGUUUUCCUUCAGUGGGAAAAUCCAGGCCCAGAGUUCAGAUCUUUCUCUUUUCGCAGCUUUAAAAGCCUUUUUUUCCCCCCUUGUUUUAACUCUUCACGGUGGGGUUCGCAGCAGAAUGUAGUUGUUCUGCCAGCCCACCCGAGAGCUCCCAAAUCUGGUGGGAUUCAGGGAAAACAGACUGCUGGCUCCGGAUCCAGUGCAGGGGUUUUUGCAAACUCCGCUCCGCGUUUUGAUUUUAUUUUUUGCCCUUUUUUUUUUUUUUUUUAAGUAGAUUUACUCUUCCUUCCCCGAGCGCACCGGAGCUGCUGUCCGAGGGCAGCCGGGGUGCACCCCCGCCUACAGAAUAAACGGGGUUCGUCUUUCCCUACA